rnacentral:rRNA from 1 species
UCGAUUUGGAGUUUGUUGCCCUGAGUGAUGGGCUCCGAAGCUAACGCGAUAAAUCGACCGCCUGGGGAGUACGGCCGCAAGGUUAAAACUCAAAUGAAUUGACGGGGGCCCGCACAAGCGGUGGAGCAUGUGGUUUAAUUCGAUGCAACGCGAAGAACCUUACCUGGUCUUGACAUCCACAGAAUCUUGCAGAGAUGCGAGGGUGCCUUCGGGAACUGUGAGACAGGUGCUGCAUGGCUGUCGUCAGCUCGUGUUGUGAAAUGUUGGGUUAAGUCCCGCAACGAGCGCAACCCUUAUCCUUUGUUGCCAUUGGUUCGGCCGGGAACUCAAAGGAGACUGCCGUUGAUAAAGCGGAGGAAGGUGGGGACGACGUCAAGUCAUCAUGGCCCUUACGACCAGGGCUACACACGUGCUACAAUGGCGUAUACAAAGGGAGGCGACCUCGCGAGAGCAAGCGGACCUCAUAAAGUACGUCUAAGUCCGGAUUGGAGUCUGCAACUCGACUCCAUGAAGUCGGAAUCGCUAGUAAUCGUGAAUCAGAAUGUCACGGUGAAUACGUUCCCGGGCCU